GUGCCAGCAGCCGCGGUAAUACAGAGGUGGCAAGCGUUGUUCGGAAUUACUGGGCGUAAAGGGCGCGUAGGCGGCCAUCUAAGUCAGACGUGAAAUCCCCCGGCUUAACCUGGGAACUGCGUCUGAUACUGGACGGCUCGAGUUUGGGAGAGGGAUGCAGAAUUCCAGGUGUAGCGGUGAAAUGCGUAGAUAUCUGGAGGAAUACCGGUGGCGAAGGCGGCAUCCUGGACUAAUACUGACGCUGAGGCGCGAAAGCUAGGGGAGCAAACGGGAUUAGAUACCCCUGUAGUCC
rnacentral:rRNA from 1 species